AGAGCGAACGCUGGCGGCAGGCUUAACACAUGCAAGUCGAGCGGGCGUAGCAAUACGUCAGCGGCAGACGGGUGAGUAACGCGUGGGAACAUACCUUUUGGUUCGGAACAACACAGGGAAACUUGUGCUAAUACCGGAUAAGCCCUUACGGGGAAAGAUUUAUCGCCGAAAGAUUGGCCCGCGUCUGAUUAGCUAGUUGGUGAGGUAACGGCUCACCAAGGCGACGAUCAGUAGCUGGUCUGAGAGGAUGAUCAGCCACAUUGGGACUGAGACACGGCCCAAAACUCCUACGGGAGGCAGCAGUGGGAAUAUUGGACAAUGGGCGCAAGCCUGAUCCAGCCAUGCCGCGUGAGUGAUGAAGGCCCUAGGGUUGUAAAGCCCUUUCGGCGGGAAGAUAAUGACGGUACCGCAGAAGAAGCCCGGCUAACUUCGCGCCAGCAGCCGC
rnacentral:rRNA from 1 species